AUGAGACCUAGUAGAGGUCUGGGAAGAGGUGGCUUCUGGGAAAGCUCUUACUUUCUUGAUGCUGGAGGACUGACAAGGCUGACAGUAUGUGUCUUCUUCAUCCUUCCUUGCCAUCUUGAAGGUGACCUCAAGCAACAAGGGGUCAGAACUAUGUGGACUUUGAUUUGGAAUGUCCUUCCUACCCAGCCCUAUCCACCUCAUGCUUGGGUGCCGGACCCUUGUUUUUCAGUUAAAAAUGGCAGGACUGGGGCUCAAGAAAUCCAAGUGCAGGUCUAAAAUGAAGGGGAUUAAAGAUUACACCUGGCUGUCAUGGAUUCUAUGAAGAUAAGAACAGUCCAGUAAGCAACUAAGCCUGUGCACCACAACCAUUGAACCUGUGCUCUAGAGUCUGGGAAUCACAACUACUGAGCCCACGUGCUGCAACUGUUGAAGCCUGCGUGCCCCAGAGCCUAUGCUUUGCAACAGGGGAAGUCACUGCAAUAAGCCCACACACCUCAACUGGAGUAGCCCCUGCUUGCCACAACUAGAGAAAAGCCUGAGAGCAGCAACAAGACCCAGCAUAGUCAUAAAUGAAUAAAAUUAUUUAAAAAAAAAGAACAGGUCAAUAGAUUAUUAGGCACUUUACAAAUAAAAUUUGGAUAAACACAAUAGAUUGUGAUCUGGCAUAAGCAUUUUAGAAUUCAUUCUAUUUUCUCUGUAUCAUUUUCCAGUAAGCCUUCACUUUUUCCCAGACAGAAGUAUCUUGUUGCCUCAUCAGAGGUGGAGAAAAGAUGUGAGUUUCAAGAUAAAAGGAGAUUAUAAAUGAGAAAUAUUUUUAAAACUUGGAAAUGGUCUGCAAAGUGAACAUUCUAUCACUUUUUGAAAAUAUGAAUCUUAACUUUACAUUUAUCAAAACAUGUUCAUGUUAAGUUCUAAGCCAUCUUACCUCUGAGCUUUACAUUAAUUCACCCUUCAUUCCUGCUGAUGAAAUUCUCUACUUUUAGUUGCUGUGACAUAUUGUCUAGUAGCAUUUUCCAAUCUUCUCCCACCAACACUAUAUUUAAGAUCCACUUGAGGUAAAUAAAUUUCAGCCAGAAUCUUUUCUUACUCUAGGAUCCAAGAGUAGAGAACUGCCUCUCAGGAAAAUAGGAAAUCUUCCUUCAGAUAAAUUCCAAGAGUGGCCCAUUAGUAACAACAUCAAGAUAGGGUUUUCACCAAUAGGUUUCAUGUUUUAAAACAUCAGUAAUUCAGUUGCAUAAAAAUAGUAUGACUUUUCUCUCACUUUGAAUAUAUCACAUACAUGUACUUUGAGUUAGAGAAUAAGCUGUCCUUAUAUACACAGCCAGAAAAAAUUACAGCUUGGACUUAGCACUCAAAGAUAAGGAAUUGUCAACCUGCCAUUUAUGCAAAUUGGCUGUGUUCUCAGAACGAAAUUGCUGAGAGCCAAGCCCUCUGUUUUAAAGUCUCAGGUCUUCAUUGUGCUUUCUGAGUCAUGCUAGUCACUGUUUCCUUCUUGGACUGGGAACCAGAAAUGAUUGUCUUUCCACCAGAAGGUUGUUGGGGAAUUAACUAUUACUAAUAAUUGUGAAAUCAGAAAGCAAGAAAGAGAUAUUAAUACUUUACAGCACACAUUCUGUUAGUAAAAAUGAAAACAGGAGAUCUUCAGUCACUUGAAGUUUCAAGUAAUCUCAGCUUUUACAUGAAUAAAUUGUUCAUUGGAAGUACUAUACUGAACCGAGCAGUCAUACUAAAGUAAAUCCAGCAGAAAAGAAUCAUGCGAAUUAGCAAUAAAAGGAGUACAUGUGUGCU
ensembl:lncRNA